rnacentral:rRNA from 1 species
AAUCUUUCGCAAUGGGCGAAAGCUUGUCGCAGUCAUGCCGCGUUAUUGAUGUAGGUCUUAGGUUUGUAAAAUUCCUUUACCGGGGCCGAUAAUGCCGGUACUCGGAGACGAACCCCUGGCCAACUCCGCUCCAGCAUCCGCGUUAUUACGAGGGGGGCUAGCGUUGCUCGGAAUUACUGGGCGUAAAUGGCGCGUAGGCGGAUCGUUAAGUCAGGUGCGAAAUCCCGGGGCUCAACUCCGGAACUGCCUUUGAUACUGGCGAUCUUGAGUGAGAGAGAGGUAUGUGGAACUCCGAGUGUAGAGGUGAAGUUCGUAGAUAUUCGGAAGAACACCAGUGGCGAAGGCGACAUACUGGCUCAUUACUGACGCUGAGGCGCGAAAGCGUGGGGAGCAAACAG